UACGAAGGGGGCUAGCGUUGCUCGGAAUCACUGGGCGUAAAGCGCACGUAGGCGGAUAUUUAAGUCAGGGGUGAAAUCCCAGAGCUCAACUCUGGAACUGCCUUUGAUACUGGGUAUCUUGAGUAUGGAAGGAGGUGAGUGGAAUUCCGAGUGAUAGAGGUGAAAUUCGUAGAUAUUCGGAGGAACACCAGUGGGCGAAGGCGGCUCACU
rnacentral:rRNA from 1 species